GAAAAAAAAAAUGUUGACCCAAUUUUUCCUUCCCCUUCGUUAUUUAUAUAAAUAAUCCAGCAAAAAUUAGUGUUUCAUUAUUGUCUAAAAUUAUUACGGCAUUUAACAACUUUUGUAUUAUAAUUGCUUUAUAUAAUGAGUCUUGAAAAAAAAAAAGAAGAAGAAGGAAAAAAAAGAAAUGAUGUUUGAAAAAAUUAACCUGAUAUUAUCUCGUACGCGUACGUAGAGCUUCCUUUGUUCAAUGUUCAUUAAACUAAUUGAGAAAAUUUGACAAAGGAAGGUGCUUGGUAACGAUAACGAUACAUAUACGUAGACAUACGUAGACAUAUCCAUGUAUACGUUUUACACGUUAAACGGAUUUUAUGCAAUUUCUCGUCGAAUUCGUUCGUAUCGUUACAGCAUUUUUCCCCGUGAGAAUUCUCGCUCGAACGAAGACGGUUAUCGAUUUCUUCUACGGCCACAUUAUCUAUGCAUAGCAUUUAUAUCACACCUACGAGCGUACACAAACACAAAUACAUACAUAUAUAUACACAUACGCGUACAGAGUUACGCGCGCAUACCUACGCGAGCGCACGUAGGUAGGUAGGUGGUAGGUAGGUAGCUAGGUAGGUAGGUAUAUUUUUAUUUUCUCGCAGGAAUAUAUACGAGCGAGAGAGGUUGCUUUUUUAAUCGUGUACUUGCAAAAACGUGGCGUGGUAGUACGUUGUUUAUCGUGCAACGAAUCGCUCUAUUAUCCUAUUGUAUCAUUAAGGGAUAUCGUCCGUCUAUCUUCAGCUUUGUUAUUACCUUCGACGAAAGCUUCUGACUGUUCUUACCUGCCAAACGUUCUCCUGGUUAUAGGGAUUGUUCAUCGAAUGGCAUCGGCUUCAUUGGGGUUUGAUUUAAUGUCUAGCAUGGAACAGCGAUUGCGUGGGAGCAACCUUAACGAGGCGAACGAACGUUGCAGAAUGCUGAAGAGGGAAGUUUGCCAUUAAAUCAUACCAUAGUCCAGCAUACCAUAUUAAUGGUUCUAUUGCGAUACCGUAGGUACGUACGAGAAAACGUUACCUCCUGUUUCCUGAUGAAGAAACUUGGACCAUUUACCGACAAGUGAACGAGCUUAACUCUGCUUAUUUUAAAGUUAACUGUUUUAAAAUCUAAAUCGAUAAUCGAAAAUUGAUUUUUUGGAUUCUUUAAAAGAAAAUUAUUAGAGCAGAUAGAUAGAACUGAUUAAUAUAUGUUCGACUGAUAACCGAUCAAUUAGCUGAUUAGUAUAAUCAGACAUUAGAAAUAUGAGAAAUAUGAAUGUCAAUUAGAUUAAAUUACUAUUGUGAUAUAAACGAUGGGAUUAGUAUAAUUGACUUAUCAGGUGUUGAAAUUAUUGCAAUCGAAUAAUUAAUAUAUUUAUUAAAACGUAACGAACAAAGAAGAAAUGGCUCGUUAACAACAAAGAACGUUGCAGUAGAUUUAGCGUUAUUAAUUAUUACGUCCGAGUAACGAGCUUGUGAGUAAGUAGAUAUAUGUAAAAUCAUAUCGAGGAUUGAACAUAUGUGAAAAUUGAAAACUUAAAAUCGUGCAAUUAAAACGAA